GGCGCUGUGGCUUAGUUGGUCAAAGCGCAUGUCUAGUAAACAGGAGAUCCUGGGUUCAAAUCCCAGCAGUGCCU
rfam:Danio rerio chromosome 12, GRCz11 reference primary assembly.